rnacentral:rRNA from 1 species
ACUUUAUACUGUGAAACUGCGAAUGGCUCAUUAAAUCAGUUAUCGUUUAUUUGAUAGUACCUUACUACAUGGAUACCUGUGGUAAUUCUAGAGCUAAUACAUGCUAAAAACCCCGACUUCAGGAAGGGGUGUAUUUAUUAGAUAAAAAACCAACGCCCUUCGGGGCUCCUUGGUGAAUCAUAAUAACUUAACGAAUCGCAUGGCCUUGCGCCGGCGAUGGUUCAUUCAAAUUUCUGCCCUAUCAACUUUCGAUGGUAGGAUAGUGGCCUACCAUGGUGGCAACGGGUAACGGGGAAUUAGGGUUCGAUUCCGGAGAGGGAGCCUGAGAAACGGCUACCACAUCCAAGGAAGGCAGCAGGCGCGCAAAUUACCCAAUCCCGAUACGGGGAGGUAGUGACAAUAAAUACUGAUACGGGGCUCUUUUGGGUCUCGUAAUUGGAAUGAGAACAAUUUAAAUCCCUUAACGAGGAACAAUUGGAGGGCAAGUCUGGUGCCAGCAGCCGCGGUAAUUCCAGCUCCAAUAGCGUAUAUUAAAGUUGUUGCAGUUAAAAAGCUCGUAGUUGAACCUUGGGUCUGGCUGGCCGGUCCGCCUCACCGCGAGUACUGUCCGGCUGGACCUUUCCUUCUGGGGAACCUCAUGGCCUUCACUGGCUGUGGGGGGAACCAGGACUUUUACUGUGAAAAAAUUAGAGUGUUCAAAGCAGGCCUUUGCUCGAAUACAUUAGCAUGGAAUAAUAGAAUAGGACGUGCGGUUCUAUUUUGUUGGUUUCUAGGACCGCCGUAAUGAUUAAUAGGGAUAGUCGGGGGCGUCAGUAUUCAGCUGUCAGAGGUGAAAUUCUUGGAUUUGCUGAAGACUAACUACUGCGAAAGCAUUCGCCAAGGAUGUUUUCAUUAAUCAGGGAACGAAAGUUAGGGGAUCGAAGACGAUCAGAUACCGUCGUAGUCUUAACCAUAAACUAUGCCGACUAGGG